CCGUCUGCGCAGUCGUAGCCCGCAGUCGCAGACCCUUGAUUCGCAGUCCGUAGUUGCAAAACAUAGUAGGUCGCAGGCGCAGUUUGCAAUCGAAGAACCUCGCAGUCCGCAGUCGCAGAGCACCGUAGGUCGCAGGCUCUGGCGUUUAAUCCCCGUCUGGCGCGUCCGGCUCCCUGCAAACGCAGAGGAAAUACGGCAGGCAAAUAAACGGCAGCAAAGCAGCGGCGUUUCGCCCCGUAAAGUAACUGGGAGACAGCAGCAUGGAUAAUUUGUCAAUCAACAGCAGGUUUCGGAGCUCCGUGGUAAAUCACGACGAUGAGAUGGCGGAGUGCGGUGUAACCCCGGUGGCCAUGGAGGACAGUGACCGUGAGGCUGGGUACCAUUCCGAUGACCAGCGUCUUAGCCCGGAGUCACCCGGAAAUGGCCAAGACCCCAGAGCCACACAGCCACCCAGCAUGUCCAAGGAAGAUUCGGGGGACUCAGAGCUGGAGCGCAUCAUGGGAGACCUCCAGUCCAGCAGGGGGCACCCUGUUCCCAGCCGUGAACCCCCAGGAGACAGGGAGGCAAAGGCCCUGGACAAGUCAGCCCUUUUGAGGCCCCCCGUGGCAAGCAAAGCACAUGGGGAGCCCAACACAGAGCAGGAGAGAAGGUCCAGGUUUCAUCCAGCCUCUGCAGACUUUAAGCAACCUUCUCCUGUCAGUCCCUCAAGGCCCAAGAGCCCCUGGGGGCGCCAUGACCCCUACGACUCGGCAGAGGAUCAAGAUAAGGAGUAUGUUGGCUUCGCCACGCUUCCUAACCAGGUACACAGGAAGUCCGUGAAGAAGGGCUUCGACUUCACCCUCAUGGUGGCAGGCGAGUCCGGCUUGGGAAAAUCCACCCUCGUCAACAGCCUGUUCCUCACGGACCUCUACAAGGACCGGAAGCUGCUCAGCGCCGAAGAGCGCAUCACUCAGACGGUGGAGAUCACCAAGCAUACGGUGGACAUCGAGGAGAAGGGGGUCAAAUUGAAGCUCACCAUCGUGGACACACCUGGAUUCGGGGAUGCCGUCAACAACACUGAGUGCUGGAAGUCUGUGGCAGACUACAUUGACCAGCAGUUCGAACAGUACUUCAGAGACGAGAGCGGCCUGAACCGCAAGAACAUCCAGGACAAUCGCGUGCACUGCUGCCUGUACUUCAUCUCGCCCUUCGGCCAUGGCUUGCGCCCCCUGGAUGUGGAGUUCAUGAAGGCUCUUCAUGAGAAGGUCAACAUCGUGCCAGUGUUGGCCAAGGCGGACACACUCACCCCAUCUGAGGUGGCAAAAAAGAAGCUGAAGAUUCGGGAGGAGAUUGACCAGUAUGGGAUCAAGAUAUACCAGUUCCCUGACUGUGACUCCGACGAGGACGAGGAAUUUAAACAGCAGGAUCAGGAGCUAAAGGACAGCAUCCCCUUCGCCGUCAUCGGCAGCAACACCGUGGUGGAGGCUAAGGGUCGCCGGGUCAGGGGUCGGCUGUACCCUUGGGGCAUCGUGGAAGUGGAGAAUGCUGCGCACUGCGACUUUGUGAAACUGCGGAACAUGCUGGUACGGACGCACAUGCAGGACCUGAAGGAUGUGACCCGGGAGACCCAUUACGAGAACUACCGGGCCCACUGCAUCCAGAGCAUGACCCGCAUGGUGGUGAAGGAGCGCAACCGCAACAAACUGACUCGGGAGAGCGGCACGGACUUCCCCAUCCCCAUGGUGUCCAACAUGACAGACAGCGAGACGGAGAAGCUCAUCCGCGAGAAAGACGAGGAGCUGCGGCGAAUGCAGGAGAUGCUGCAGAAGAUCCAGGAGCAGAUGCACACACAGAAAGAGGCCUACUGACCCCCACCCUGGGGGACUGCUCUCAGGAUCUGUUAUCCUUCACAAAAAGUUGCCCCUGCUUGCCCCUGAUGGCCCUAUCCAGCCCCCCCUCGUGUCUCCACCUUCCGCUCUCUCCCUUUCUGAAGCCUUCAUCUGUAGGGAGGAAGACGGCAGCGACAGCGGCUCCUGGGCCAUGGGGCUCCCUCUGCUGGGAGAAGCUGAGGAUGGUCCUGAAGGGUGGAGAUUCCGCGGCGUCCCCGGCGCCCCCGGCCCGGACACUGACACAGGGAUGGGCUUCCCCAAAAUGCAUUUAAACCUCAUACUGAAAAAUCACUGUUAGAGGAGCAAAUAAAAAGAAUAUCUGUCAUUCCAGUACCUGCAUUAAUAAUUUCACAGAGGACUGCUAAGUGUUAUCUGCUUAAUUUAUACCUGUGACACUCAUUUUAGGCUCUUUCAGACUGGGUAGCUUCUCAUGAUGUAUGAUUUGUUUUUCUCUUCUCUUCCCCCUGUUCAUUCCCUACAUAUUUCUGCCCCUUUGCACCGCCCCCCCCUCCCUAUCCAUGCCUGCAUGCUUGUAUCCAUGCACUCUCCAUGCCCUGCCCUCAUCCAUGUUCAACACAGCUCACCUGUUCCCUGCUGAUGCAGAACCCCUGUUAUGACAUAGGUUAAAAAAAUUGGUGUGGGAAGUUGUGUGUAUAUGUUCUGCUAUAUUGGCAUUUGUUUGCUUUGUUCCAGCUGCGUAAUAGUGCAGGUAACCGCUUCUCCUGUGUAGUAUGUUUGCAUUCAUCAAGCGUUUAACCCCUCAAGCAAUAAUUUGAUAUUCAAGGAUCUUUUUUUUAAUUUUUUUUUUAUCAGGUUCUUAUCUUUAAUUUUUUUUAUUGUUUUUGUUUAUAUUGAUUUUAGGGGACAUGGGAGCACUUUAACUGAGCCUCGGGAAAGAACAAUAAAGGGGCCCUUAAAGUGUGAUAGGUGCCUUGUCGAGUGCCUGUCUUUAAAGCUUCUGUAACCCGCAAGACCUUCUAACCUCAUUUCAGCCGGGCAGUGUGUCUGGACUGCGGCCAUGCCAAUGAGGGGAAGCAAUGAGGAGCCACUUCAGCCAGUGUAGCACCCAUCUGGAUGAUGCAAUGGCAGGGGUGGUGGGUGGCCCAGUGGUGUAGUGGUUAGCACUGUUGCCUCACACCUCUGGGACCAGGGUUCAAGUCCCUGCCAUAGCUGGACAAUGGGCCACCCCCACAAACAACCACCUCCCCCCCCAACAAGACAGUUGGAGAAGAUGGACAUAACAAAUGAGUAGGGGCAGCACAAAGGGUAAUUUUGGCAAUCUGUGAAGCAUAAUAAUUUUGGCCUUAACAAAAGACACCCAGGGACCCAUUAGACUGGGCUCCCCAGGAUAGGCUGACCUGCUAGCCACACUAACACCAACUCCAGGGGCAACACAGCUUUCUUAGCUGGUCUCCCAUCCAAGUAGUAACCAGGCCCAAACCUGCUUAGCUUCAGAUGGAUCACCCAGCCUGAAGUAUAGGAGCUAUGGCUGCUCACAUACCAAAAGGUGUAUCAGGAAGUUAAUGGGAGGACUUUACUUUACAGAAUACCACAUUGCCAGUGUUUGUGGGCCCAGUCUUUUAAUACCAGCGUCUGUUUUCCCACCCAGAUUCAAAAUUUGCCCCAUCAGCCCUGCACUGAAUUUACCCAUCGCCAUCAUUCAGGAACAAUGAGGUGUUUUUGCUUUACCACUGCAUUUAAAAUGACUAUGUAAUAACUUUAUAAAUUCAGAGGUUUAAAAAAAAAAAAAAACGCAAUAAAAAGCCGACGUGUCA